CUACGGGACGCUCCAGUGGGGAAUAUUGCACAAUGGAGGAAACUCUGAUGCAGCAACGCCGCGUGGAGGAUGACACUUUUCGGAGCGUAAACUCCUUUUAUAUAGGAAGAAGAUGACGGUACUAUAUGAAUAAGCGCCGGCUAACUCCGUGCCAGCAGCCGCGGUAAUACGGAGGGCGCAAGCGUUACUCGGAAUCACUGGGCGUAAAGAGCGUGUAGGCGGAUUAAAAAGUCAGAAGUGAAAUCCUAUAGCUUAACUAUAGAACUGCUUCUGAAACUCUUAAUCUAGAAUAUGGGAGAGGUAGAUGGAAUUUCUGGUGUAGGGGUAAAAUCCGUAGAGAUCAGAAGGAAUACCGAUUGCGAAGGCGAUCUACUGGAACAUUAUUGACGCUCAGAUGCGAAAGCGUGGGGAGCAAACAGGAUUAGAUACCCUUGUAGUC
rnacentral:rRNA from 1 species